AUAGGACUGACCCACGAAGACCCUGCUCGCUUUCUGGCGUCGGUCUCUCUAGGAUCCAUCAGAAAUGACGAGCUGGAAGAUGCUCCGAUUAAUUGCUUUCCGGCUCUGAGAUGGCACCUCCAUCGCCAGUCAAAGUUUUAAUUAAUCAUGCCAGCAGAUGGGCUGUCACGGCCGGAGCGGCCAGGGGACUUACAGGAUUCCUCUGACAGGACUGGGGCAGACAGAAUGCAGAAGCAUGGCGACUCAAGUAGAGAGGCCAAGGAAUGGUCACAGGGUGUCACAGUCAGAAGGGACGUUCGUGUGGGGAGAAGACCUUUGAUCAGCAGCCCCUUCCUUCUCCUGCGGUGGCCUGAACUCGGAGGGUAUAACUGGGAUGGAGCCAGGCCACCGCCUUACGUGUGUGCACACAUGGGAGCAGCCUGGGCCUCCUCGCUGUGGAAUGGCCGGGGUGUCUGCUGUGAUGGGGCACACAUCUCCUUCUUGGUUGAGCAGUAAACAAGGACUGUUCGGUUGGGCCUGUUUCCUUGGAGCAUAUCUUCAUGAAUAUUUGCUGGUGCAGGGAAGUGAUGAAGUACCCAUAGUCCGCACUAUGAAAUCAGAAAGUCUCUGAAGGAAGAAAUUGGCACUCUGCGGCCAUAGUCCUAAGAGAGAAGACAGGAACCAUUUUCCUAUGCCUCCUGUGUGCUGGUCAGAUUAAACGGCACAGAGGGGUGAGCUGCUGAACGCUUGGUUGUAAUUUUGCAAGACUGAUGGCAAUCACUUAUCCUACACCAGCCGUGCCAGUGUGGCUGCUAGAAAGUUUAAAAUUACACGUGUCUCGCAUUAACUGCCUUUUGGACAGCGUUGGUCUGGAACCUGGAAUAACGUCCGACACAGAGUCGCCCCUCAAGAAAUGUCAUUCCCCAGAUGCUUAGAGGCCCAAAAGGGGGAACAAGCCUUUGUCCUCACUCUGGAGAAUCUGAGAGUUUCAUGAAGAAGAGAACAGAAACACCUCAUGUUCAAGGGAACUCGGACCGAGACAAGUCAACAACUAGCCACAACCGGAUAGGGCAUAGACGUAAGUAACAGAGACAGCUGGAAACAAUGGUACUAGCAGAAAGUAGAACUGAAUUUUAAAGGUGGAAGGGGGUGUCAUUUGACUGGAAAGGAAGGAUGGGGCCUUUGAUUCAGCGAUGGAGGCCUUGAGCCCUCGAGGCAUGGAGUGAGCAGGUGGGUAAGCUGAUUGUCCUUGCUGGUGACCAAAUGGAGCAGGUG
rnacentral:lncRNA from 1 species